CUUCGUCUCCGCGUCGUGCAGGGAAGGACAUGGUGAACAAAAAGAAAUGUCUGGAGGCAGUGAAAGUAGUGGGAUACAUCCAGACCUCCAGUGACCGCUGCUCUUUCAAGACCAUCUUUGCCAAGCACCUCCACGAUGGAAAGUGGCAAUGGUCAGCCUUCUACUGCUGACCUGUCUUGACCGUGAAGGAACUGUGCCAAUGUGGCCCCCCCCUCCAAUGCCCAUCUGUGACUCCAGGUGCAAGUCCAAGGAGGCGGCCUUGCUAAUACAGGCAAGAUGACGAGGGAAAGAAGCAGCUAGAGAAGGACUUUGCUACCAUGAAUAAGUCCUCACAGGUCAACUGCGUCAUUAUCUACACAUUAUCUACACGCAGUUUCCUCUUCCUUUGUGAACUGAUCCCACCUUCUCUAUUCACCAGUCGCUUGAAAUUCAAAGGAGCCCGUAUGUAAUGGAAAAGAUUGACUUCAUUGACACCACCUCUGAUUUGGUCAUGGUCUCUUCCAGAAUGUGGAGGAAGUGUUUUCAUGGGACCGCUCAACGAAGGCUGCAUUGCCAAGAAGGAGGCUGCCUGAAGUCCACUGCUCCCAUAUCUCUUUGAUUGUUUGAUACUUCAUA